UGAACGCUGGCGGCGUGCCUACUACAUGCAAGUCGAGCGAACGGACGCGAAGCUUGCUUCUCUGAUGUUAGCGGCGGACGGGUGAGUAACACGUGGAUAACCUACCUAUAAGACUGGGAUAACUUCGGGAAACCGGAACUAAUACCGGAUGAUAUUUUGAACCGCAUGGUUCAAAAGUGAAAGACGGUCUUGCUGUCACUUAUAGAUGGAUCCGCGCUGCAUUAGCUAGUUGGUAAGGUAACGGCUUACCAAGGCAACGAUGCAUAGCCGACCUGAGAGGGUGAUCGGCCACACUGGAACUGAGACACGGUCCAGACUCCUACGGGAGGCAGCAGUAGGGAAUCUUCCGCAAUGGGCGAAAGCCUGACGGAGCAACGCCGCGUGAGUGAUGAAGGUCUUCGGAUCGUAAAACUCUGUUAUUAGGGAAGAACAUAUGUGUAAGUAACUGUGCACAUCUUGACGGUACCUAAUCAGAAAGCCACGGCUAACUACGUG
rnacentral:rRNA from 1 species